rnacentral:rRNA from 1 species
AAGGGCACCACAAGAACGCGNGGAGCAUGUGGCUUAAUUUGACUCAACGCGGGAAAUCUUACCGGGUCCGGACGCACUGAGGAUUGACAGGUGAUAUAGAUCUUUUCACUUUGUGUGAUUUUUUCUAAAUAAAUAUGCUAGUCCUUUCAUGAUUAUGUGAUAGGUGGUGCAUGGCCGUUCUUAGUUCGUGGAGUGAUCUGUCUGCUUAAUUGCGUUUCACAAUGGACUUAGAAUUUUUAUGUGUGAUGCUCGGGCGUUGUCGGGUGUUUGCUUUUUUGCAUUUAUCCCUUCAUUUCUGCCCUUGUCUUUUUUUCACACGUCUAGUCCUGAAAGCAACGAACGUGACCGCAACCUCUUGUUGCCUUUUAACUUGAUUCCUGAUCUCUUUCUUUCUGACUGAGUUCAUUUGCGUUUCAUAACAUAAGAGUGCUUUCAUAAAACUAGAGGGACCGCUGCGACUUUUUUUUAAACCAGAGGAAGGUUGCGGCAAUAACAGGUCUGUGAUGCCCUUAGAUGUUCCGGGCUGCACACGUGCUACAAUGAUUAUUGCAGUGAGCAUCUCAUUCAUUUAUUAUCUGACUGCUGCUCUUUGAGUUUUGCAUCAGAUAAAAGCCUGCUUCGAAAGUUCGCAGGUAAUCAAUUGGAAGUAAUGAUUUCCCUUUUUUUUUAUUAUUAUGCACUUUCUUUUUGAUUUGUGUAUAGUAUGAGCACACAAUAUGCGGCUCCCCUCCCUGGUCUUUGAUUGCGAUUUUACCGUCUCUCUUGGCCAUUGUGUGUGGGGAUGGCCUGUAAUUAUGCAGGCACUUUUACCUUUCCGCAUGUGCUUUUUGUCAAUUCAUGGUGGGGACAGACCAUUGUUUAUAUUCUUUUUCUUUUAUUUGUAAUUGUUGGUCUCGGUCUCAACUAGGAAUGCCUUGUACGGGUCUUUGGUUCAACAAACCACCCGGAAUACGUCCCUGCCCUUUGUACACACCGCCCGUCGCUCUUACCGAUGGACUUCUCUGUGAGUUUGAGGGACUGGAUAGUGCGAUUUGAUCUCACAACAUCUACGGAAACUUAAACGAACAGUGUGGUCUAAAGGAAAGAGAAGUCGUAACAAGGCAUCGGUAGGUGAACCUGCAGAAGGAUCA